rnacentral:rRNA from 1 species
UACGUAGGGUGCGAGCGUUGUCCGGAAUUAUUGGGCGUAAAGAGCUCGUAGGCGGUGUGUCACGUCGGCCGUGAAAACCUGCAGCUUAACUGUGGGCGUGCGGUCGAUACGGGCAUCACUGGAGUUCGGCAGGGGAGACUGGAAUUCCUGGUGUAGCGGUGAAAUGCGCAGAUAUCAGGAGGAACACCCGGUGGCGAAGGCGGGUCUCUG